GCACAAGCAGUGGAGUAUGUGGUUUAAUUCGACGCAACGCGAAGAACCUUACCAAGUCUUGACAUCCCUUGACGAUGCUGGAAACAGCAUUUCUCUUCGGAGCAAGGAGACAGGUGGUGCAUGGUUGUCGUCAGCUCGUGUCGUGAGAUGUUGGGUUAAGUCCCGCAACGAGCGCAACCCUUAUGGUCAGUUACUACGCAAGAGGACUCUGGCCAGACUGCCGUUGUAAAA
rnacentral:rRNA from 1 species